GUCCACGCGGUAAACGAUGAAUGCUAGGUGUCGGGGAGCAAAGCUCUUCGGUGCCGCCGCAAACGCAUUAAGCAUUCCACCUGGGGAGUACGUUCGCAAGAAUGAAACUCAAAGGAAUUGACGGGGACCCCGCACAAGCGGUGGAGCAUGUGGUUUAAUUCGAAGCAACGCGAAGAACCUUACCAAGUCUUGACAUCCUUCUGACCGGAACUUAACCGUUCCUUCCCUUCGGGGCAGAAGUGACAGGUGGUGCAUGGUUGUCGU
rnacentral:rRNA from 1 species